rnacentral:rRNA from 1 species
ACGGAAGGCAGCAGUGAGGAAUAUUGGUCAAUGGACGAGAGUCUGAACCAGCCAAGUCGCGUGAAGGAAGACGGAUCUAUGGUUUGUAAACUUCUUUAGUGCGGGAACAAAGCGGCGUCGUGACGCCUGAUGAGUGUACCGCAAGAAUAAGCAUCGGCUAACUCCGUGCCAGCAGCCGCGGUAAUACGGAGGAUGCGAGCGUUAUCCGGAUUUAUUGGGUUUAAAGGGAGCGCAGGCUGCGAGGCAAGUCAGCGGUCAAAUGUCGGGGCUCAACCCCGGCCUGCCGUUGAAACUGUCCUGCUAGAGUUCGAGUGAGGUAUGCGGAAUGCGUUGUGUAGCGGUGAAAUGCAUAGAUAUGACGCAGAACUCCGAUUGCGAAGGCAGCAUACCAACUCGCGACUGACGCUGAGGCUCGAAAGCGUGGGUAUCGAACAGGAUUAGAUACCCUGGUA